UACAGAGGUGGCAAGCGUUGUUCGGAAUUACUGGGCGUAAAGGGCGCGUAGGCGGUCUUGUAAGUCCCGUGUGAAAUCCCUCGGCUCAACUGAGGAACUGCACGGGAAACUGCUUGGCUUGAGUUCGGGAGAGGGAAGCGGAAUUCCAGGUGUAGCGGUGAAAUGCGUAGAUAUCCGGAGGAACACCGGUGGCGAAGGCGGCUUCCUGGACCGACACUGACGCUGAGGCGCGAAAGCUAGGGGAGCAAACGGG
rnacentral:rRNA from 1 species